rnacentral:rRNA from 1 species
UGUCUUGUAUUGGAAUGAUGGUGACUUAAACCCUCACCAGAGUACCAAUUGGAGGGCAAGUCUGGUGCCAGCAGCCGCGGUAAUUCCAGCUCCAAUAGCGUAUAUUAAACUUGUUGCAGUUAAAAAGCUCGUAGUUGAAUUUCAGCGUUUCGCGUGUGCCUCUUUUGGCCCAUCUCGUCUCGCUUUUUUUAUUACUUUGAGAAAAUUAGAGUGUUUCAAGCAGGCUUUUGUCUUGAAUACUUGAGCAUGGAAUAAUAGAGUAGGACCUUGGUUCUAUUUUGUUGGUUUUGUUACCUUGGUAAUGGUUAAUAGGAACGGUUGGGGGCAUUCGUAUUUAACUGUCAGAGGUGAAAUUCUUAGAUUUGUUAAAGACGAACUACUGCGAAAGCAUUUGCCAAGGACGUUUCCAUUAAUCAAGAAC